rnacentral:lncRNA from 1 species
GCAGAAACAAAACCCCUUAGAAUAAGAAACUGAAAGACAACUUACCUCACAGUACCAAAUUCACUAAUCCUGUGCUGAUUUAUAUUUCUGGAUUAAUUGCAGUGAAUAAGGAGCAUCACACCGGUGUAAAACUCAUGUGAAGGAUCAAGCCCAGAGGGAACAGAGGAGCUGCAAUGCAGGAGCCAGUCCUCCCUGAGCAACAUUUAAGUAAAGGAAGAAGAGCUUCCAGAGCUAACUAAGAGUUAACUGGCUACGUUUCAACUGUCACCAUUGUCUUACAUCUACAUAGAGAGCAGGAGAGAGUCUGAGAGAUUGUCCCGCUCUCAGGUGGAUGAUUGCUCUUCAGCAUUUGGCCAAGGUCAGGCAGGUACUUAGCGCUUCUGAAAUGCAAGCUCAAGGCAGGUGGUGUUGAACAUCUAAGUUUGGAGAAGUCUUUCUGGAGACCUGAUGGAAAUUAUUUGCUCGAUAUUAGUCAUAAGGUAUGUGCUCAGUGGUCAAUGCAACUGUUAGAAGGUGGCUUCCCUCACACUGUGUGAAAGUCCCUCUCCGAUAUCCCAGGUUUCUCCCCAGUUUUG